CAUGCACAAAAAUUUCAAUUUCCAAUUCCAAACAGCAGCAAAAACGGGAAUGAAUGUAAUGAGUCAAAGCAAUACCACAGCUGUCUUGCUGAAUUUACACCAAAAGAGCAGAAAGAUUCACUGAAGAAAGUUGUAUUGUGCUUUACAUUUCGGUUGAUUUAUUAACAAAUAGCUAUUUAUCCAGCUCCCUCUUCCAUAUACUGAGGUGUUUUACAAAAGAAACCCGCCUUACUUAUUAGUCAUCUGUGUAACCAGUUAACACAUGAGCUCAGUGUGGCUCAGGGCUGUCGGACUGUAUGAUGUGGGCAUGCCUUUGUCUGUGAAUGGCAUGCUUAUUCAUACGCUGAAAACAAAAAAACAGUGCAGUGGAGGUUAUGGGGCGAUUCCCAUGAGAUUACACAGAGCAGAGCCUGCAGAGCCAUGUUCCCCAAAGAAGUUUGCUCCCAAAUUACGGAGAGGGGGAUGGGUGAGAGGAGGGCGUGCAAUACACAGAGGCCCCAUUUUAGCCUCUUGUCACAUCUGAGGUGGGACAGUUCCGCCUGGGAGGGAUCACGGGCAACAUCAUCAACAGUUCCAUUGAUCUGCGCCAGUAAGCCACGACAGUGAGCCAGCAUGCACAACACCAGGACCCUGGAACUGGAACAGCUGAAUAAGAUGCAGCCAUCAUUAAUGGUAUUAAUUACACCUGUGCUUUUCCUGCUACAACAUGUCAAAUGUUGUGAAAAAGGUCUGAUAUGAUGCCAUAUAAAUAAAUAAAAAGAUGUAUAAUG